AUUGAACGCUAGCGGCAUGCUUUACACAUGCAAGUCGAACGGUAACAGGCCUUUCGGGGCGCUGACGAGUGGCGAACGGGUGAGUAAUGCAUCGGAACGUAUCGUACAGAGGGGGAUAACUUACCGAAAGGUAGGCUAAUACCGCAUAUACUCUGAGGAGGAAAGUUGGGGACCUUCGGGCCUAACGCUGUAUGAGCGGCCGAUGUCUGAUUAGCUAGUUGGUGGGGUAAAGGCCUACCAAGGCGACGAUCAGUAGCUGGUCUGAGAGGAUGAUCAGGCACAAUGGGACUGAGACACGGCCCAGACUCCUACGGGAGGCAGCAGUGGGGAAUUUUGGACAAUGGGGGCAACCCUGAUUCAGCAAUGCCGCGUGAGUGAAGAAGGCCUUCGGGUUGUAAAGCUCUUUCGGGUGGGAAGAAAGCGUAUGGGUAAAUAAUCCAUGCGUAUGACGGUACCAUAAGAAGAAGCACCGGCUAACUACGUGCCAGCCGCCGCAGUAA
rnacentral:rRNA from 1 species